UACAGAGGUCUCAAGCGUUGUCCGGAUUUACGUGGGCGUAAAGGGCGUGCAGGCGGUUUGUUAAGUGCAGGGUGAAAGCGUCCCGGCUCAACUGGGAGAGGUCCUUGCAUACUGGCAAACUCGAGGGAGGCAGAGGAAAGUGGAAUUCCCGGUGUAGUGGUGAGUAUGCGUAGAUAUCGGGAGGAACACCUGUGGCGAAGGGCGGCUUUCUGGGCCUUACCUGAC
rnacentral:rRNA from 1 species